GGUAAUACAAUUACCCAGCCACCAUAGCCAAAGAGCUCUAACCCCUAUCCACGUGAGAAUUGGGUAAGAACACAAUUACCAGAAGGAAAAAAAAAAGCAGAAAUAGAAAUAUAGAAUUACACAAUCCCUUAGUUUCCAUUUCGGAAAUAACGGAAGCCUGAUAAACGCAAGAAAAUUUUCCUUUCUUCCCCCUUUUCUUCUUGCUACCUGCAAAACCCUAGCUCUCCCUCCUUUUUUUUCAUCAUUUUUCUUAUCUCUUGUUUUUAUUUGCUCUGUAUUUACCAGCUUCAUUCUGUGACGCAAUUAUAUUAUGUCAGAGCUUCCAAACUGAUGAAAUCAUCCUGUUGAAGAUGCAUUUUGUCUUGUUGGAAUUUGGAGAGGGUUACUUUGUGAAGGGUUUGCGGUCUGUGUCUGACAACUUUCUUUUGAAGAGAAGAAAGCUUAGCCUAUUUCCAUUUCAUCAGCACUUUUAAGGUUGCUUAUUGCAAAGGCCCAUAAAUAAUCUUGCCAGUUCGAUCUCCUCAUGUUAGAAGGCCGUAUGGCGGUCGUCAAACCAGAGAUGAAGUCCUACAUUUGGCUCCAAACUGCUGAUGGAUCGAUCCAACAAGUAGAGGAAGAGGUUGCCAUGUUUUGCCCAAUGAUAUGCAGAGAAGUACUUCAAACUGGCACAGGAUCCUCGAAAAAUUGUGCAAUAUCACUUCCUCAACGAGUCAAUACAGCUAUUCUGGGCUUAAUACUGGAUUAUUGUCGGUUUCAUCAAGUUCCUGGCCGUUCUAAUAAGGAGCGCAAGACUUUUGAUGAAAAGUUCAUCCGGUUAGACACCAAGAAGUUAUGUGAGCUGACAUCUGCUGCUGACAGCCUUCAACUGAGGCCUCUGGUUGACCUUACAAGUCGUGCACUUGCUCGGAUGAUUGAAGGCAAAACUCCCGAGGAAAUACGUGAAACUUUUCAUUUACCUGAUGAUCUAACAGAGGAGGAGAAGUUGGAACCUUUGAGAAAUAUGACCGAUGAUCCACGCAUACGCCUUCUCAAUCGACUUUAUGCAAGGAAAAGGAAAGAAUUAAAAGAAAGAGAGAAAUUAAAGAAUGUUGAGGUAGAAGAAGAGCAGCAUGUGGAUGACCGAUCAGUUGAUGAUCUUCUUUCGUUCAUAAAUGGGGAAGAUGAAGAUUCUAAGGGUGUAAGAACAACAAAGAGUAAAAAGAAAAAUAGGAGGAGAAAAGAACAAGCUAAGAAUUCCUCAACAAAUAAUGAAACUGGUAACCAUAAUCAGGAAUCUAGCUUUCCUGCAUCUAGCUGCCUGAAUGGUGGUGUUCCUUCUCCAAGUAAACCUUCUGAUCUGCAAGACCCUGCAUUUGAUGAAGGCGAUAUUGACGAUGAAUUAGAUCCUGUAAUGAAGGAAGAAAUUGACAGGGACCAUCCAGUUAUUUCCCCCUCCCCCAGUGGCAAUCAAACCCUUCAUGCCAGCAUGGGCUGCUGUGGCUUUUUUAGGGGAGGUUGAGGAUUUUGCUAGGAGACUGAACUCUGUUUGGCCAGAAAGAAUGCAGGAGAUUUUGUCUUUGGGUCAAGAGAGGAGGCCUGUACCACUAUCUGUGAAUGGGAAUGGUUCCCUAUAUACAGGUUUGGAUGGGAGAUAAUGGUUCAAAUAGUGGAUGAUGAAUCUUUUGGAUUCAGUCGAGCUUAACAUGCCAGCUUUCUGUGUCUACUGUUGCCACUAAAGACGGUAACAAUUCAGUGUUUAUUGCUUGUAAAAUUCUUUCGACUAGUCGAGCUGCCAAAAGUGAUUUCUAAUCCUGGGGAAAUGACCUGAAUGGCUGAAGUUUAGGGGAAUUUCGAGAUACAAGGAAGUUCUGUUGUAUGUGGUUUCAUGGUAACCACCAUUUCAUUUGUCCUGCAUUUCCAGAUACAAGUUCCAAUUUUGCAAAAUUUUCCCAAUCUUAGAUUUGUUUUCCUAUUCUUUAAUAAUUUAGUUCAAAUUAAGCUGUGUUAGUUUUUCACUCAUUUUUUGUUUUGGUCUUUCAAUUUAAUGUUUCUUGGGUCUUUUCCGCGUCAUGAGGAAUAUAAUAUGAGCAUUUUUGCCAUGAAAUGGCUUAAGUGCUUGUGGGUUCUAUGCUUCAAUUCCGUAUCAAAAUGUCGUGUAACUGUGUAUGUAAAUUUUGUACCUUUGUUAUUUCUUAUUGAUAUUAAAUUUAGUGGAUAAAGUUUCCUCUUCUUGA